AGCCUCCCGCCCCUCCCCGCCCCGCCUCCCGCCCCAACCUAGUGCCCGACAGGAAACUUCCCACCUGGCGCUGCCCCCAACCAAAGUCAUGAGGGCAAGGCUCCGGUUCCUGCCCUCACAGGGUCCCAGAAGCAAGGGCAGUGAGGACCUGUCCGUCUCUGGCACGGGGUGUCUGAUUCUCCUUCGCUGUGGCGGGAAGCUGGCCGGAUUUGAAGGUGCUAUGGGGCCGCAGCAGCAUAAACAGCCUCUCUCAGCCGCUGCAGCAGCUCUUUGGGCUGUGGUGAGAAUGCGCUGGUGUCCACUCUCUGGAAGUCGGGGUGCACAACCAAGGAGGCCAGCACCUCUGUGAUGCGCCCGGCAUCAAAGGCUGCCUGUUCGAAACCCAACCCAGCACCGUCCUCAGCGGCUGCCUCCCUCAGGACCAGGAGCCUCUUCUCAGCGAUGACCUUGAGGAAGUGGUAAAACUCUUCAAAGUUGAUGCCCGAGCAGGACCUCAUGAUGACCUGGGCAGAGGGAAGAGGCCAGUGAGCUGACACCAUGGACACAGUCCAAGCUGCAAAGGACCCGACAUGCACCCAGUCCCCAAGGACGAAGAGGGGACCAAUAAGACAGAGGCACUGAGAAGCUGGGCAGUGACCAAGGGAGUCUGAGCCAUGCAGCCUGCAGGCCUCCCAGGGACCUGGCAUCGAUAGCCUCCACGCGCAGCCACCCCACCUGGCAGUGGUGGUGCCAGUCAGGCAUGGAGUCCCUCCACUCGCUGACCUCCUCCUGCACAGCGCAUAGCUCCUGCUGCAAGAAGCGCCACAUGUUGGCCAGGUUGAAGCCAUUGAUCCAGUUGUGGUUGAUGGAGAUGGUGUCAUCCUGGAAGGGGCACAGUGCAGGCAGGCCUGAGCCCAUGGCAGGUGCCCCCCAACAACCCACAUCUCCUGCGCCAGGAACCCACUGUGGGGUCCAGCCCUCUGCAGCCAAGAGGGCCCUCCUGUCUCCCAGCAGGGCUUGCUCAGCAGGGAAGUGGGUGGCGGGCUCGGACCACCUCAGGCCACAAUGAACCCAGAGCAAGUAGACCCAGGGACCGGCAGUGGGUGAAACAGAGGCUAGGCCUCAGCGACACCACCUUGUGAAGGGGUCAGCCUCACCCAUGAGCCACCCCAUUCCAGCCCCGCUCUCGCUGGGAGAGUGGGGAGGUGGUGCUGCCGUCUUCCUGCAGGAAGGCCCCUGAUAGGGGGCAGGAGAGCAGCACAUUACCAGGUUGUGCACCUGGUGGUGCCAGCCACUGGGCACAAACACCAUCUCGCCCGCCUCCUGCGUGAUCUCCAAGGGUGGGCCAGCAAGCUGGCUCUGCGGGUGCAGGUGUGUGUCGCAGAGUGCUGGGGAGGUGACGUCGUAGGGCAGGUUGCCGUGGCGGUCCCGCAGGGCCUCUUCCUGCCCUGGGGGGAAGAGGAGCCACUUCUUCCUCCCACAGACAUUGACAGACCAGCUGAAGGAGCGGAAGAUGUCAGCAUGGAACGGGGACCUGCAGCAGCAAGAGCGCCUGGUUCAUGCCUGUAGGGGCUGGUAUGGGCUUUGCUUGGCACCCCAGAGGCCUGGUCCAACUGAAGGAGGGGUGGCCCCUUGGUCUCAAGGGAUGGCACCCACUGUGAGGCCUGUGCCAAGCAGCCCCCCUCCUGCCACCCUGAGCCUCCUAGUCCGCUCUGUCACCAGGCCCCUUCGGAUUCCACUCCCACAUCCAUGGCCUCACCAGCUGCCCGCAGGCCCCGCGUAGACAAAGCGGUAGUCAUCCACAUCCAGUGCAUCCCAGAACUCAUUCAGCCAGUCGGAGGAGAAGUACACAGGCAGGGUGAAAACGUCCUCCAUCGGGAAGUCCCUGUGAGGAGGGUGCAAGGGCACCACCGACAGCACGUGAGGCACGAGGAGACUAGGGCAGCACGAGUGGGGCAACUGAGACCAAUCGGCUCCAGUGGAGCUUCCAGAUGGCUGCAGCCCCCAAAGAGCCCCAGAGCCUCCUCUGAGCCAGAUGCUGCUGGUGGGGGAGGCGGGGGCAGUCUGACUACAAUGGUUCUGCUUAUGAGAAAGUACUGAUCAUGCCUAUAAUCCCAGUGCUUUGAGAUGCUGAGGUGGAUGCAUCACCUGAGCUCAGGAGUUCAAGACCAGCCUGGGCAACAUGGUGAAACCUAGUCUCUUA
rnacentral:sRNA from 1 species